UGGAGAGCAAGCCUUCCUUGUAAACAAUUAAUAAUUCUCUCAAAUAUCCAAUAAGAUAUUAAGUUUUAUACUCAGAUAUGGAUGAUCAAAGCUCAUAAUUAUCAAAUCUACAAGAACAGGUAUUUUCAUUUAUGAUUAUGAAUAACUAAGUCCAUUAAUUCCUAACAAUCAUGAUAUGAUAAAAUAAGUUCAUAUUAGUUACUAUAUAGUGGAAUUAUUCAAAGAAUAAUAUGUUGCAAAGUUUAUUAGCAAAGAGGACAAGGAGAAAGUUCCCAGAACUAUGCCAUCCUAAAGGUGAAACCGGUAAGGCAGAGAAGCCGUGAUUGGGUAGUAACCAGAGUUGAGGCGCUGUUUAGGAAAAAAGUAUCUGAACGUACCAUGCUAAUAGUAACAGAGGGACAUAGUUAUUUAAGAAUAAUCUAGUAUAUAUUAAUCUAAGAUGAUCAUUAUUUAUUAUGUAUAUGAUUGGAAGAAAUACUUUGGAACUAAGCAUCAUAUGAAAAUGACAACCUACUUAUCGAAGGAGAUGAUAAAUAAAUUUAAGAUACUUGUUUUGUAUGUACUUAAGGAUAUAGAAAUAAUAGAUACAAAGAAACUUAUAUGGGAAAAGAUAUUUGAUUUUGAGGAUGAAGAGUUAUUAAAUCUAGAAUGGAUAGAAUACGAGUUAGAAGACAUAGAUUUAUAUGAUGAUAGACAUUAUUAUUCAGAUUAGUAUUACUUAGAUUAAAAUGAUAAACUACGAAUACUUAGAAUAUUGGAGAAAAGAUAUAGAAGAAACAAGAUUAAUAGAAAUACUAAUCAAAAAGAAUUUAAUUGAAUACACAAAAACAAAAAAUAUGGAACAUAUAAAAUUCCUUAAGAGUAAUGUAGAAGAAUUAAUAAGAUUAAAACAAAUAACAAAGAAAUGUUAUGAUAAAGCAUUUAACCAAUAUGAAAUUAUACGUUAGGUAUCUAACCCCCUUCUAACCCCCCAAUUUGGUGAGCAUAACACAUUUGUUUCUCUUUUUGAAUGAAAAACUUUGCCUAACUUGAACUUAGACACCCAGUAGCUUUCCCAUUAACGUUUUCAAUGUAAUAAAAUGAUGUAGAAUGGCAAGAUAGAAUUUCCAUCAACUAACUUUCUGAAACGAAGAGUUCAAAUCAACGAAAUACCAAAACCCAGCAAUAAUGUUAUCGCAAAUCAGAAAUCUGAUAUGUAUAUUCUAUAGUGCACCUAAUUCACCUGUACGGAUGCACCAUUGCAAUUCACCAAGCAAAAAUGAGGGGCCCUAAAUACAAUUCCUCUAGGAAGCAGUUUAAGUUUUAUUACAAAAAUAUCAGAUUCUUUUUAAUUUGUUAUUGGUUUUCAUCACUUGUUCUGAAAUAGAGUAAUAUGGUACUAAUUGUUCACUUGAAUAGAAAAAGAAAGUUAUGAUAUGUUAAUCAAUUAGGGGUCGUUUGUUUAGACGGUACUAAAAAUUAUAUGCAUUAUAUUUUUUCUAAGAAUAGAUAAUUUGUUUACAAAAAUACCUUUCACCUUAUUUAACUUAAUAUUUUAUGUUAAAAUACUUAUUUUGUCAUAAAUUUUAUAAAAUAUUGCUAAUCUCAUUUUUAAAAAAAAUAUUCAUCAUCAAAAAAUGUGAAAAAAAUUACUCUCAUUUUAAAUUAUUUAGUAUCAUUAAUAUUUGAAAAAUUGAAUUUUAUUUUUUUAAAAUAUUAAAUUUUCAAACAUGCUUAACUAUAUAUAAAAAAUAAUAUUUUAUUUAAUAAUCAAGCAUGUACUACGUUAGAAAGAAAUGUCAAGAUACUUUAAUUACUUGUCCAUGAUAAAUUUAUUAGGAAAAAUGAAAAUUUGAAGUAAGAUUAAUAACUAAAAAAUAGAAAGACAAUAAAUCCUUACAUCAAUUUUGAAUUUGAUUUUAUAAAUAGUUUUUAUGGUGUCACUAACAUUUUUGUAUGACUCAUAACUUUUGUAGCAUUUAAUAAGCCCAUAUAAUUGUUUAAAUUUACCAAAACAUAUAUAAAAAAUUGUAGAAUAAUUAAAAUUUAAAGUAGGAAUAAAAUUAACAAAAAAAAUGAUGUGACGACUAUCAAAAUCAAACGUUAUAUAUAUAAUAAUAAUAAUAUUUAAUAAAUAAUAAAAUAGGUAUAAAUGAUAAAUUAAUUGUUGAUGUUUUAAAUUAAUAGGACAUCUUAUAUAAGACUCAUUUAAAUUUUUUUCACAAGUAUUUUUGCUCCAUGAUUUUAUUAUAUUACCCCUAAUUAAUUAUUGUAAGUUAUUUACAUAUAAGAAAUUAAGACAUUUAUGACAUGUCUGCUUAAGCUGCUUCAACCGUAAUUUUACUAUAUCACCCCUAAUUAUUUAUUUAUUAUAAGUCAUUUAGGUAUUAAAAAUUUAAUAAUAUUUAAUAAAAAAUAAAAUUGACAUCAACGGAUAAAUUAGUUCUUGAUGUUUUAAAUUAACAUGAAAUCUUAUAUGAGACUCAUUUAAAUUUUUUCCACAAAUAUUUUUGAAAAGUAAUUUGGCUAUAUCACUUCUAAUUAGGUAUUAUAAACCAUUUAGGACAUAUCCACUUCGCUACUUCAAUCAUAAAAUUUGGAUGACUAUCGAAAUUAUUUUAGUGCCACUUAAAUUAGAAGAGAAUAAAAAAUAUUAUAAAUCAUAAUAAUUAAAAACUUAAAUUAUUUUAAGAAUAUAAUUAACAAUCAAUGCCACAAAAAAUUGACAAGGAGAGUAAUAUAUAUUAUUUAAAAAUUACAUAAAAAAUAUUAUAAAUUACAAUAGCUAACAAUUUAAAAUAUCUAAAAACAUAUUAAAAAUAUGAUUGAUUAUCUAAAUUAUAUUUGUGUCACACAAAUUCAGGAAUAGUUUUGGCAUUUUAUAGUUUGCAUGUUUGAGAAAAUGGUCUAUUAUCCCCCAACCUUUAGUCGAAAUCCCAACUACACACUCAACAUUUACAAAAGUCCCAUUACCCCUCUAAACAUUUUUUUACUGUAUUUAGUACCCCUCCAAUUGUUGAGCUGUCAUGAGAGGUGAGAACAUCUCCAAUAGGCACGUCAGCCGAGGCUUCAAUCAUUCUAAAUCGGUAUUUUUAAAUGUCACAUGUAUAAUACAUUUCAUUAUUUUUAAUUAUUAAAUAAUAUUUUCUUCUCCAACUAAUAAAAGACUUUUUUUUUGUCUUGUUCUCUUUCUCAAAACAGAAAAAUCCAAGAACUCGUUAAUGGUAUUUCUCAUCUUCCUCAUCUCCAAUUUCAUUAGCUUUCUCAUCUUUGUUGAAUUCAUUAAUGUUGAUUCCUCAUCCUCCUUAUCUCAAAUUUCAUUAUCUUUCUCAUCCAAGAACUUGACAAUGAACUCAAAAUGUAAGGCUAAAGCCAUCAAUGAAGUGAAAUGGAGAAAAUUAUACAUGAUUCAUUACUCCAAAUUAUACAAGACGCAACAGAGUUCAGAAAAGCAAAAUUAGAAGAAGCAAGAAUCGAACUCUCCACGUACCAAGUGCAUAAACAAUCAUUUUAAUCUAUGGAUUAUCUAUGUGUCUUCUUUUAUCAGAGAACUCUUUCUUUUAUCAUUAACAAAUAAAGCAUUUUCUCCUUUCAUUGUUCUAAAAAAGCUCUAAAAAUAAAUUCAUCAAUGACGUCCUUUUCUUCAUCUUCUUUGUUGCCAUUUUCCUUCAAUAAUCGAAUCUACACCAUCAUCUUCUCAAAUUUUUUUUUGUGAAUUUUCAAUAGCAUCGUUCGUCCAUCAUCUUUUUCGCCUCUUUUCAAAAUUACCGCUACAAGUUCUUCAAAAUUAUUGCCUCCACCAUCGACAAUGAAGAGAAAUUAUUUCAAUUAUUUAUCACCUCGACUUUCCGAAUUUUCUAAAAUUUCUAUCAUUGUUUCAAUAUGUGCAUCAAUACAAGACACCCAAAAAAAUUUGUUUUUCAACUUUCAACAAAUGAAAAUUAACCAAAAGAUCUAAACUUUGCAGUAGACGUCGUCUUCUUCACUUAUGUUUUUUUCAUAGGAUCCAAGUAACAAAGCUCAAGGAUCAGUUGUUAGUUUCAGUAGAAGUAGCAAAGAAAGCAACUCAAGAAUAACUUGAGAAAAUCCGAAGUUGUUCCGGCAAAAAUGAAUCUGUUUCCUAAUAUUUUCUCCUCGAUGGAGCUCCAAAAGUUUGCAAAUCCACAACCAAAAUUUAAAUUACAACACCAAUCUCCAAAAAAAAAAAGAGAGAAGAUCCAAACGUGGUGUUAAGAGAGAGGAGAGAGAAAGAUGAAAUUUUUUUCUUGAAAAUGAAAGGUUGAAAGAGAAUGGAGAUGAGAUAAUUUUUAUAAAGAAAAAUGAGAAUAUUGGCGUGGGCCCAGGCGUGUGAAAUGAACGGUUGCCUUAUUAAUUGGUUUAUGUUNNNNNNNNNNNNNNNNNNNNNNNNNNNNUGUAUAAAAAAAAGGUUGGGGGGUAAUAGGUUUCCUUUAAAGGUUAAGUGUGUAGUUAGGAUUUCGACUAAAGGCUGGGCGGUAAUAGACCAUUUUCUCAAUUAGUAAUUUGUUGAUCCAAGUGAUAUUUUUGAAUUUAACAUGUUUUGAAAAUCCAGUACUUUAUUUAUUUUACUUUAUUUAUUUUAUUUUGAAAGAAUAUUAUAUAUUUAAAAAUUAUGCAAAAAUAAUAAUUAUAAGUCAUAAAUAUUAGCAUCUUAUAAUAUUUUAAAACAUAUAGUAAAAAAUAUGAUUGACUUUCGAAAUUCUAAUAGUGUCACAUAAGUUGUGAUAAAACAAAUAAUAUAAAUUUUUUGAAUUUACAUUAAAAGAUGUUAUAAAUCACAACGAUUAACAACUUAAAAUAUUUAAAAUAUAUAUUAGUAAACAUUUGAUUGACUCUCUAAAUUAAAAAUUGGGAAAAAGCGAAUAACAUAAAUUGUUUGAUAAUUAUGUAAAAGGUACUAUAAUUACAAUGAUUAACAACUUAAACUAUUUAAAAAUUUAUAUUAAUAAAAAUUUGAUUGACACUCCAAAUGUUAUUUGUGCUACAUAAAUUGAGAUCAGUAUCUAGUAUAGCACAUAAUCACGAUGCACAGAAGUGCUAUAACACACUUGUUACUUUCUUUUUCUUCAUAUUAACCUCUAAACUAUCUGAAAUAGCUCAAAAAUGUCCCUCGUUAGAUUUUUGGCUAAAAAAUACCCCUCCGUUAAAUAUUUGACUCAAAAAUACCCCUCCCUCUAACGAAAUUCGGAAAGGGAUCAAAAUUAUCCCUGAACUAUCUGAAAUGGAUUAAAAAUACCCCUCUAUUAAAUAUUUGCCUAAAAAAUACCCCUCCCCUUAACGAAAUUAAAUUAUUUCGAUUGAAUUAAACCUUAAAUUUAACUUUUUAACCCUAAAACUUUAAUUUUUUUUACAUAAAAGUAUUUUUUUAAUUUUAAAAAUAAGAUAAUGAAAAAUGUAUUUGAAUUAUAAUAUAAAUUGGUUGAAUUUGAUUUGAAAAAUAAACAUACAUUUAUUCUAAAGAGGUAUUUUCACUUUACAUAUUUUUGAUCUUUAAAGAAAUUAACGAAAUCUAAAUUAAUGAAAUUAACAAAAUAUAACUUUUCACUUAAAGAAAUUAAUGAAAUAAAAAUUAAAUGAUGAACUUUAUAUAAAUUAAUGAAAUAAUAAAAAUAAUUUAAUUUCAUUAAAUACCCCUCUGUUAAAUAUUUGGCACGAAAAUACCCCUCCCCUUAAUGAAAUUAAAUUAUUUCGAUUGAGUUAAACCCUAACUUUAACUUUUUAAUCCUAAUACUUUAAUUUUUUUUUACAUAAAAGUAUUUUUUUAAUUUUAAAAAUAAGAUAAUGAAAAAAUGUAUUUGAAUAAUAUAAAUUGGUCGAAUUUGAUUUGAAAAAUAAACAUACAUUUAUUCUAAAGAGGUAUUUUCACUUUACAUAUUUUUGAUCUUUAAAGAAAUUAACGAAUAUAAAUUAAUGAAAUUAAUAAAAUAUAACUUUUCACUUAAAGAAAUUAAUGAAAUAAAAAUUAAAUGAUGAACUUUAUAUAAAUUAACGAAAUAAUCGAAAUAAUUUAAUUUCGUUAAAUACCCCUCUGUUAAAUAUUUGGCUCAAAAAUACCCCUCUCCUUAACGAAAUUAAAUUAUUUCGAUUGAAUUAAACCCUAACUUUAACUUUUUAACCCUAAUACUUUUAUUUUUUUUUAACAUAAAAGUAUUUUUUUUAAUUUUAAAAAUAAGAUAAUGAAAAAAGGUAUUUUAAUUAUAAUAUUAAUUGGUUUAAUUUGAUUUCGAAAAUAAAAAUAAAUUUAUUCUAAAAAGGUAUUUUCACUUUAUAUCUUUUUAAUCUUUAAAGAAAUUAAUAAAAUAUAAAUUAACGAAAUAUAAAUUUUCACUUAAAGAAAUUAACGAAAUAUAAAUUAAAUGAUGAACUUUAUUUAAAUUAAUGAAAUAAUCAAAAUAAUUUAAUUUCGUUAAGGGAGGGGUAUUUUUGACCCAUUUCAGAUAGUUCAGGGGUAUUUUUGAUUCUUUUCCGAAUUUCGUUAGAGGGAGGGGUAUUUUUGAGCCAAAUAUUUGGCGGAGGGGUAUUUUUGAGCAAAAAAUCUAAUGAAGGGCAUUUUUGAGCUAUUUCGAAUAGUUUAGGGGUAUUUUGGAGCCUUUUCCGUUUUAUAAAUUUAUGACUUUAUACCACGGUAAAUUAUGGUGGAAUUAUUUAUACCAUCCCUUGGGUGGAAUAACUUAUCCCGUUACUAUUUAUUAAUCCCAAGAUAAGUUAUCCCGAAUUUCACAACCAAACAUAGCUCCAAAAAUAUUAUCCCAGCAAUAUUAUUUUAUCUUGGGAUUAUUUUAUUUAGGCCCUCUUUGGCCAUGAAAAUUAUAAUUUUCUGGUGUUGGAGUUAGAAUUGAAAUUGAAGUUGGAGUUGUGUUUGACCAUGAAUAUAAAUUAAAGUUGUUUUUGACAUUUUAUGAGAGAAGUAUGAAUGAAAAAAGUGAAAACAAGUAUUUCCAAAUACAAUUCCAGAAUUGUAUUUGAAAUUUCCAUGGUCAAACACAUCUUAUUUUCACAUUUUUUUCACUAAAGUUAAAUAAUUUUUCAAAAAAAAUGUAAAUAAUUUCAUGACCAAACGGCUACUUAGUAGCUUACAUCAAACGACCCCUUAGGGUUCUAAUAGUCCGACUAGUAUAUGAUAUUAAUUAGAAAUUCAGAUUUCCUAAAAAUAAAAAGAACUAUUCCUAGGGCAAAAACUGGAAGUUGUUUGCUAUAAGAUGAAUUUCAUAUUAAAAGUCCAUUUUUUUAAGCAUGAUAAUAAUUUUAUAAAUAUAGCAGUGUUUUCAUGAAGAAAGAGUAGAAAAGGAAAUAUUACCUCUAAUCAGAUAUCAUUAGUAGUGAGAAGAUUCAAGGCAAUGGGAAAGAUGGUACACAAAGAAAGGAGCAGUACACAACACUAACAGUAACUCCUAUUCCACAAAAACUUAGAGAGAGAAUCCUUGAGAGAGAUGCUUCAGUGUGACAAACUAAUGUCAGGGUCCUUUCAGGCAGGAAAAAAAAUUAGAAUAAAGGUAAAGGAGGAGCAAGGAUUUGGUUAUCUUUUGGGCCACCGCGUGGGUGUGUUUAUGCUUGAUUGGUGCUUCCUAUUUGUUCAUGGGUGAGGAUGAGGCCACGGAGUGACAUUUUACAAAAGAGAUUAGUAGCAGUAAAUAGCUUAGCUAUUUAUUUUUAUUUUAAAAUUAAAAUAAAAGAGCAACAUUUGUUUUGGUUAGAAAGGAGCAACUAUAUUAAAAGGCAUAAAAUAUAAGGUUUAUAGAUACAAAACCAGGUUAAUCAGCCUAGGUUAAUAGCAAAAGAGAAGAUACUUGGCUCAACAAGAGUUUGACCACUAAACCUAACAGAUCUUUCAAAAAAAGUUUCCAUCAUGUCUGCCCAUAGCUGUUGUUGGGCAUACAUUGGAGGAACUAGGAAAAGAUGGGCUUCAUUUAGUUAGUUUAAUGUUGCUCCUUGUUUAGCUAGCCUAUCCGCAACUUGAUUUUGCUCCAUAUAGCAGUGUUGGACUGUUAGUGCCCCUACCUCUUCUAACCUGGACCUGCAUACAUCAAUUAUAGCAUCAUAAUAUUUGUUGCCUUUUUUUAGCCAGUUUAAGAUUUCCACAGAAUUAGUGUUAAUUUCAACAGGCAGCAGGUUGUGGUGAACAACAAGAUUAAGACCUUUCUUGAGAGAAGUUUUGGUAAGAACAACAGGCAGAAGUUUUGGUAGAAACCCAUGAUCCAUUCCCCAUUGUGGUUCCUAAUAACACCACCUAUUCCCUAUUUCUCUGAGUUCCCCAUACACGAACCAUCAAUAUUUAGCUUGUAGUGAUCCGUUUUGGGGGGGGGAGAGGGGGGAUCCACUUGAUGGAGAUAGUUGUCAGAGGGUUGUAUUUUACUCCUUUGGGGGUGAAGGUGGCUGAAUUCGACAGUAUCAGCAUAAACCUAGGUUAAUGAAGGUUUCUCAUUUAUGUGAUUGAACAGGUUGUUAUUUCUGGAUUUCUAAAUUUCCCAAAGGCAUUGAGGAAUGAUCUCGUGCGGGAGGAUAAGGUGGUCGAAAGCCUUGUGCUUCAUGAUUUUCCAUGUACUAGGCCAGGCUGACACCUUAUAGGAUUGAGGAGUAAUGAGUGCAUUAUUUUUUGCAUAGGAGACUAGGUUGGUCCAAAAAAUAGCAGCAUUGGGGCACUCAUAAAAGAUAUGGUUGGUGUUUUUAAUAAUAUUGGGGCAGGAGUAGCAAUGGAAGUUGAAAUUAAUCCCCCUUUCAAAAAGGUUGAGGCUAGAGGGAAGCCUAUCAUGGUGAAGGGGCCAGAAAAAGAAUUUGAGCUUAUGAGGAAUAGGAAGCUUCUAGACCCAAUUAAAAUCAUUACCUUGAGACAUAGGGUGGUCUUUUAGAAUGCUGACCCUUGCGUAAGCAAGAUGGUGGUAGGCUGUGCUAGUUGAGAAAGAGCCUUUGCUGUUCAGAGACCACACAAGAGUAUCCUUAGUAAUACGCUUGGUAGCACAAAAGGUAUUCCUAAUAUGGUGUCUAAGGUCCUAGGAAAUUUCCAAAGAUAAGGAGUCAAAGCUCCAGUUACCCUGCUACCACACCUGUGAUAGUUUUGUUUGGUCCUCUUUGAUCUGAAGGGGUCCAUGAAUAAUGUUUUUGAGGGGUUUGCUAUUUGGGAGCCAUCUGUCUCCCCAAAACUUAAUAGUAUUCCCAUCUUUUAUAGCCGAAGUAGAAGCCUUUCUACAGUUAUUCCAUCCCUUGUAAAUAUUUUUCCAUCUUCUAGAAGCAUUACUUUGGCAAACCAUACCCUUUUUGAUAUACUUAUCUUUUAGGAUUCUGACCCAAAGAUUGGUGGGUUGGUUCAUAACCCUCUAGGCUAGACUUAUAAAGAUAACAUCAUUCUUUAUACCAGCCUUGUGGAUCCCCAGACCCCCUUCUCUUUUAGGGAGAGUGACAGUGUUCUAAGAGAUCAUGUGCAUUUUCUUUUUAUCAUUGGUAGUACCCCAGAUGAAGUUCCUCAGUGUUCUAUUAAUGAGCUUAAGGAUAUGUUUAGGGAUGGAGAUAUAACUUAUGAUGUGAUUAGGGAUACUGCUAAGGGAAACUUUGACCAGGAUAGUUCUCCCAGCCAUAUUGAGGAAUUUAGUCUUCCAUCCCCCUAGUUUGGAGUUCAUGGAGUCCAGGAGAAAAUGAAAGUCUCUAUUCUUGGGUUUGGCAUGACAAAUAGGAAAACCAAAGUAUUUUCAAAACUUAGCCUUCUCUCUAAUUUGCAUUAUUUAGGAAAGCUGUAGCUUCUUAUUAGAGGGACAGUUGGAGGGAAAAAAACCCUAGGCUUGGAGUUAUUAACUCUUUGUCCAGAGUGAUAGGAAAAUCUAGUAAAGGUGUUGAUGAUGGUCUGGCAGUUCUUUUCAUCAGCUUUUGCUAUGAGGAUGAGGUGAUCAGCAAAGAAAAGGUGGGAUAUCUUGGGGUCCUUAUGGCUGAUGGAAAUGGGGUCCUAGUUUAGAAGAUCAACUUUAUAGUCAAUCUUUCUAGACAGAAGUUCCAUGCAAAUGAUGAAGAUGUAGGGUAAAAAAGGGUCACCCUAUCUUAUUUCUCUAAUGGGUUUGAAGUAAUUAGUUUUUCCACCAUUAAUUAGGAUAGAGAUAGAAGAGGUGGAUAUACAGGACAUGAUCAGCAUGGUGAGUUUAGGGGAAAAUUGAAGAAACGAAGAGCCUAUCUGAUAAAGGACCAUUCUAAUCUCUCAAAGGCCUUUUUAAGAUCUAUCUUGAGGAUCAUGUUAGCUUUUUUUCCUUUCACUUUUGAGAAAUAGGUGAUGUAUUCCUGAACAAUAAUGGCAUUGUCAGAGGCUCUUUUGUUGGAAAAAAAAAACUUGAUUGGGUGGGGCUAAUGAUGUUGGCUAGGUGAUGUUUCAUUCUAUUGGCAAUGAGCUUGGUAAUUCUUUUAUAUUGGGUAUUGCAGAGGCCAAUAGGUCUAAAAUUCCUAAGGUUAGUAGCAUUGGUGAAUUUGGGGAUUAGGCAGAGAUAGGUAGAGUUUACUUUGUCAUCCAUGAUACAGGUAUUGAAAGUGUCUUAGUACAACUUAACCACAGAAUUGCCCAGGAUUCCCCAGAAAUUUUGGUAAAAAAGUGGAUGCAAGCCAUCAGGGAUAGGAGCCUUAUUUGGCUUAAAAGACAACACAGUUUUCUUGAUUUCAUCAGAAUUUGGGAUAGAUUCUAGGCUCUGGUGGUCCAUGGGGUUGAUUGAGCCCUUGGAGAAGGGGUUUGUUUGGGUUGGUCAGUAGAGUAUAGGACCUGGUAGAACUACAGGAUGCAGGUAGUGAUCUCCUUUUGGGUAUAGACCAAGGUACCCAGGUUAUCAUUAAGGGAAUUGGUUUUGUUUUUCCUCCUUUAUUGAUAGUAGAGGUAUGGAAAAAUCUGGUGUUGUUGUCACCCUCAGUGAGACAGCUUAUUCUAGAGUUUAGCUGCCAGUAAUCCUGCUCCUACCUAAGAAUAUCACUGUAUUCCUUAGAGAGCUUAUUUUUAAGAUUAUGGAGGAAAGAGCUAAAGGGGUAAUCAACUGAUUUUUGAAUUCCUCCCAAUCUUUCUAGGAUGAUUCUUUUUUUUUUUGAAAAAGUUUCCUAAAAGCUCCCUGUUCCAGGAGGAAAUGAUGAUCUCAAAGUUUGAGGUAGCCUAGGUAAGGUCAGUGCUACUAUUGAAGCACCUUUCCACUAUUCCAGUGAAAGUUGAGUGGGAACACCAGAUGGUUUCCAACCUGAAGGGCUUACUGGAUAUGGGGUGGUGCUUUUUAAGGAUGACUAACAUGGGGGAGUGAUCAUAGUGAGUCCUAGGCAAAUGAGUCACAGAUGAUUUAGGGAAAAUAUUGAUCCAAUUAUCAUUGGCAAGACAUCUAUCCGGUCUCUCAAAAAUAAGGGCUUUCUUAUUCCUAUGCCUCUUUUUAGACCAAGUAAACUUACUACCUUUAAAACCCAAGUAAAUAAGGCUACUAUAGUUAAUACAGUCCCAGAAAAGGCUAGCUUUACUGUGAUUAAUGCCACUACCACCAAACUUCUCAGAAGAAUUUAAAAUCUUAUUAAAGUCACCACCCACCAGCCAAGCACUAUUAGGUAAGUCUCUUAUGGUAUCAACCAUAGAUCUGAGAUGGUUCCAAAGAGUUUUUUUUUAAUAAAACAAUUGCUGGCAGAGAUGGUAUUAAAAAACUAGGAAGACGGAGGGUUACUAACUUGAAUAGUGACAUGGAUGCCCUGAUAAGAGAUAUUGAUGUCAAUGAUACUGAUAUUAUCAUUAUUUCACAUAUUGACCAUACCCCUAGAGCUCCUAACCAUAGGAUAUUGGAUCUUCUUAUUAUAACCUAAGAAAUCAGCAAGAUGGUUGUAGUCUCCCAUCCUAGUCUCUGGGAGAGCCAGGAUUGAAGGCUUGUGAAGGUCAACCGUUGCUUUAUAGUGCCUUUUGAAAUCAACAUUGUUAGCUUCCCUAGUGUUUCAUAGUAUGAAAUUCAUCAUCGAUAGAUGGGGUAUUAUGGUGUCCAACAUUAUCUCCUUGCCCUUUCCUCUUCUUUGACAAGAAAGACAUCUUGGUUUUAUAGAAUUUCCCUGUCCUCUGGGAUAGUGGGACUAUUUCUAAUUUGAAGAUUCCUAAAUCCUGAGGGAUAAAGAUUAUAUUUAUUUUGCUUACUAGAUCCUCAAAGAGUAGGUGGAUUGGCUUUCCUAGUAUUUCUACUUCUACUCAUGGUGCUCUUAUUGAGGCUAAGAUCUACUCUAUUUCUGAGUUUCUCUGUCUUAAGGCCUCUAGGGUCUGCUCUCUUUCUAGCAUUUUUUGUGGUUGGAUAUUCAAGGAAGGGGGUUUCUGUAGGGAUCUCUUUAGGACUUAGGGAGCCCCAAAGGUUUGUACAAUAAGUGGACCCUCCUCUAACAUUUUUUAAAGUUUGGCCGGGAAGAAUGGUAAAGGUUUACUUGCCCGGGACAUCUCUAUGUUCAAUAUCUCUUGAGACAGGGUUCCCAUUUAGGCUUGAUUGCUUAGCCUCAAGAGGGCCGUCAACCAUAUGUUUUGGCCAAAGUAGUUGAGGCCCAUGUUCAGACCUUCCAGUACUACCUGAGCAAGGUAAAGGAGGUCUUGGAUAAGGAUUCUUAUGGUCUUUCCCUCUCAUUCCAAGAUCAGUAAAAGAAGCUGAUCCACGAGGCCCAUCUCUAGCCAUGAGGUUGGCUGAUGGUUCAUUGGCAGUUGGAUUGAGGAAAAAAUAGCUUGAGAUGGUCACAGAGAUGGACGUAACCCCAUUUUCUAAGAUGGAAUGGUUUUGGUUUGAUAGGGGCUCUAAAAGGGAGCAUGGGAUUCAGUUAUUAAGAGUGGGGGAGUAUAGGGUUGGUCUUCAGGUCUAGUUUCACUCUCUUCAAUUAUGUCAAAGUCAGUGAUGAGACCAGUAGCAGUACCCAUGGGAGGCAUAUUUCGAGGAAUAGUUGCCACCAAAGACUUGGACAAGACAGUAGUUUGACUUUGUGUAUUCUUUUCCAAAGUGGAGAUGUAACUGUCUUGUCCAUUACCCGAGCUCAUUUUGGGAUGGGUGGUUUCCUUGAUGGACUUUGUGGAAAAGUCACAGUUGAGGAAGCCCAUGUCCCUUUUAUUAGAGAUCGAAUUGUCGUCUGUGGUCUUGUGAGUAGCAUGCUCGUUUGAGUUGGAAUGGCCUGGCCCAAUAAGUGUUUUUUUGGGCCUGUUGCUAUUUUGGCUCCAAAUUUGCAAGGGCCACUUAUCUUUGCCUAGGUUUAGGGUUCCAUUUUCAAGGGCUUUCCCUUUCCCAGCAGCGUCGGGUGAUGGAUUAGAGAACUUACCUUGAUCCCCACCGCUAGUAGAUGCAAUUGUCGACUCCUUGUUAGGUGAUAUCUUUUUUGUCUUCUUGAAGGUGACCGUAGUCCAUAGAUCUUCUUCUUCUGUAGUUGGGUCCAUAACCUGGGGGUUGGCCGCUUCUUGUUGCAUUGUAGUUGUGAUCAAUUGGGUGCAGUUCCCUCUUGUGUGCCCUAGCUUUCUGCAUAAGUUACAUAAGAAAUCAUCUCCCUCAUAGUGAAGCAUUUGAUGGUGGUGUUUGAUGGUGACUGAUUUUCUGAGUUAGGUGUCCAUCGGGAUCUGGAUGCAUAUGCGUGCAUAUCGUCCAUGAAGUGUAGCUGAUGUGCAAGAAUCGAUUUUUACUAGUUGUCCUAUUUUUCUUCCCGCUUUCUCUAGAAUUUUCCUGUUAUAGAAUUCAGUAGGUAGCCCUGGCAGCCUAACCCAGAUCACAGUCGUUAGGACCUUAGAUUUGCUGGGUAUGAAAUUGGGGGUCCAGUUACGGAUAGAAAGAUAUGCUCCGGCUACGAACCAAGGGCCCUGUUGGAGCGCCUUCUUUUGGUGUUCCUCUUGAUUGAAUUUUGCUGUGUAGAAAUCAUACCCAAGAUCGAUGAGGGGAAAUGGAUCCUGGAUCUUCCAUAGUUCGUCUAGUUUGUUUCAUAGAUAAUGAUGAUUGAACCUUUUGCCUUCUGCUUUUAUGAUAACGGAGAAUUUCCAUGGUCCGUAAAUUCUAUCUUUGUCCUCUUCCGUUAAUUUAAUGGCAUCUUGGGGAAUUUUUUGGCCCUCUAUAAUUGUAUCUUGUGGAUGGUAGACAAGAUAAUUUAUGUCCAUCUAGGUGUUGUUUCUAAUGAUGUCACUGUAGGAGACGCCUUUUGAGUCUUCUACGCCUUUUCGCUCAUCAAUUGACAUUUGGGUUAUCCCCUUAUCAGGGAGUUCUGGAGGGGCGAUGUUCGCAAAUGACUGUUUCAUCAUCGGAGCUUCUUAUAGGAUUAGGCAUCUGAUAGCACUGGGAGUACUAUAAAAGAGCAACAUUACAAAAUAAGAAGUAGAUAAAAAAUACUCGGAAGACAAUGCAGGAGGUCAAGAAGGUGUAAUGUUACAAAAAUAAUGAUCAUUAAUGGUGAGGGUUAUUUUCAAAGGGAAAGUAAUAGAGAUAAGUAGUGGACAUCUAUACCAUAAUAUUUUUAUAGCACUCUACUUGAAUGUCUAUAGAUAAUGUGUCUUGUUAAAAUCUUACUAGAAAAAUUAUGUCAAAAAUUUCUAGCGAAGAAAAAAGAGUACACUAUCUUUUAAUAUAUAUUAUUUAUUGUCUCAUUAAAAACAUUAAAAAGAAAACUUAAUUGAACAAAACCUUAAUCAAGGAAAAAAAGUAAAACACAUUAUACUCUCUUGAUUAAAACAUCACUUAAUUCUUGCAAUCAUGUCUUUCAAUCUUGCAGGUCAGCUUUUCAAAUGUCAAUAUUGACUGUGUCUUUGUGAUCAAAUUACAUUCAUGAAGAUGCUGCAUUCUUAAACUUGUCAUAAUAUAUCAUUUUCUAAUUUCUUGGAUAUGUUGUUGAGUCUUUGAGCUCAUCCAAAUAUAUUCUUGAUAAUCACUUAUUCGUGAUCUCGUCGUCGCAAGCAAAUUAUUCAUUCAACUUGUUCAUAGCAACAUCCAAGUUGCGGACACAUUCAUUUGCAUGAUAAUAGAAUUAAUUGUCUUAUAAAAUAACAUGAUAUGACAAUGUUCACACGUGCAAAUGAAUUACUUUUGUGAGAUCAGAUUUUAUAUAAAUCAAAUAAUUUUUUUGCUAUUUCAUAAUUAAAAAUUCCUUGACAAAUAUUGGUUAGAAGUAAUAAAUUCAUAUCAAUAUUUGAUUUUAUUUAAAUCUAUAUAAAAGUGAAAUUAUUUCUUUUCUACACAUCAAUAAAAAGUAUUAUUCCAUGUAGAGAAAAAACAGAAAAUUUAAGUAUACCAACUGCACUAAUACAUAUACUUUCUAACCAUUUUCAUGAAAUAGAAUUGAUCUUUAUUUAUUUAAGCAAUAUUAUAACCAUUGAGGUGCUAUUUAAUGGAAUUGAUUUAAAACCUUUUAAAUCCUUAAUGAUUUUCAUAUAUUAUUUAUCAUCUAGCUAGACAUGAGAAUCAUUUACUAUACGUAUUCAAGUUUUUCAUAUAUUGUCAGAUUAAAGGAAACACCAUUGCAUCUCCCAUAGGAAAAAACAUCUUCAUACAAUAAUGUCAGGAUUUUUACGGAAAAAUCUGUAUGCCACAGGUAACAAUUCACAAUUUAUUUCUUACAAGUUUUUCUUUUUUCAUUUCAUUUCGCAUAAGAAUUCAUUUGUACCCCACUGAUAUUAUACCUUAAUUUUUGCAUUAUAAAUUCAAAAUAUUAUUUUUUCAAGUGAAAUAAAAAAUACUUAAAUUAUGUAAUUUUAUUUGACCAAUCAUUUACUUGUGCAUAUUUUUUGAUAGAUUUAAAUUCAAGAUCCUCGUCACAAUUUAUAAUGGGGAGCUCUACAUUAUAUAAAAGUUACUGUCGAUGGUCUUUUUGAUGUCAAUUUACGAUAUAACUUAUCGAGAUCUCUUCAUUUUCAACAUUUUUAGGUACUUAGACCUGUGCGAAGAUUUUAUGAAGUGUUAUGACACUGUGCUCUUUUAAAGCACUUAUCUCAUUAUUAUGACCGUCUUGAUCAUUGAUCCUCUCCUUCGUUAUGGAGUCUAACAUUUGAAACUGAUUUGUCUAUCACGCUUCACACAUGCCAUAGGCUCUGUCCUUCGAGGACUUUACAUUGGAGCAUUUACAGUUGAAUUAUAAUAUCAGGUCAGCAUAUGCAUCUUGUAAUGAACUUGCAACAUUUCACAAAUCAUGAAUUAUAUCUUGAAUUUCAAAUGCAUUUUUAUGAAGAUCCAGAUAAUUCAUUUUCCACGCAUAAUUUCAUCUACUAAUUAUCUCUCCCUCUAAUGAUAGAAAAACUUUCACCCAAUCUUAUUUAGGGAUCCAUCUUUAUGCAUGGUGUAGAAAUUAUAUUAGAUACCACAUAUUCAAAUUUUUAGAUGAAAAUUAUUUGGUUCUUGACCCUGAAUCAAUAAUAUAGGAGAACCUUGUUGGGUUGAUGUGUACAAGUGCUGCUACAUGUGAGAUAACACAUCUCAAACCAAUUUAUUUUGAAAGAUUUGUUGUCAUAACUAAUAAUUUAGUCAUAAUUAGAGACUACAAUUUUUACUAAGACAACCAACAUUAUGAACAUAACUUUAUAUUUUGAAAGCAUGCUCUUAAUUCAACAAUCCAAAAGGGUCAAAAAUACCCUUGAACUAUCAUAAAUAGAGCAAAAAUACUCUUCGUUAGUUUUGUAGCUCAAAAACACCACUCAGUUAAUUUUUCAGCUCAAAAACACCACUCAGUUAGUUUUUCGGCUAAAAAAUACCACUUUCUGUAACAGAAUGAUACCAAAUAUGCCACGUGGCCAAAAUAUACACAUGGCUAGUCCAUGUCAACAUCCACAUUUAAAACUAAAAAAUCAAAUUUAACUUACAAUACUUCAAGAAAUCAAAACUGUAAUUGGUCAAAAAUGUAAGAGCUAAAAAAUUAACCUAAAACAGUCAUAUCGAACAAUUGAACAAACACAAAAUGAAUUCACAAUUGAUAUUGUAUAUAUAGUUGAAACAAUCACAACUCAAAUAAUUAAACAAUAAUAAUUGAAACAUUGUCAGGUUAUUUUUCUCUUUUGAUUUGUAUUUUUUUUACAAAUUCGAAGAACUGAAACUUAAUUUCUUUUGACUUCCCCAUAUAUAUAGCAGGAGUUUAGUACACUGGAAUGUGCUUUUUAUUAAAUGAAACUUAAAUGCUAUAAACAAUCCCACUAGUAGAAUCACAAGAGUCACCAUUGAAAUUCAUCAUGGUCAACCAAUUUUGAAUUUCGUUGUCACCCAUCAAACUGAUCCCAAAUUUCACUUCCAAAAUCAAAUUUUCCUUGUUGUGGAUAUUUUAUGGCUUGUUAUGAUCUUAUGAUCAAGUGGUAUUAAAUGAGGUAAUUUUUUACAUAGACUGGCCAUGUGGCUUUUUUUAUCCAUGCGGUGUGCUUUGAGAGAGGGGUGUUUUUGAGCAAAAUAUUUAAUGGAGGGGCAUUUUUAAGCCAAAAAAUAAUGGAGGAUUAUUAUUUCUCUAUUUUGGAUACUUUAAGGGUAUUUUUGGCCUUUUUCCAUUUAAUAAUUUGAGUAAACAAUCUUAUAAAAAUCAAACUUCAAAUUGAUAACAAUGCAUAUAAGAAACACCCUAGUUUCUGGACCUUAAAAAAUUUCCUAGAAUUUUGAUCUCUGGACCCAAUAUGAAUCAUGGGUAUGAUCCGUGAAUUGAGGAAUAGAUGGUAUGGUCCGGUCGUAUACUGACCAAUGUUGGUUGGUGGGAAGGAUUUCGAUUACUGGAAUAUAUAUGACUUAGGUAUACGAGUCGUAUUGGUGGUUACAGAUCAUUUGGCUCCUUAAACUAAUCUUGGAAUUGGUUACUUAGGUUGAAUCUGAGUACGAGAGGCUCAUCAUGAGCCGUCAUAUAGGGUACGAAUCAUAACAGGGACUCGUAUGGUAGGCAGUGUCCAAUUCUCCUAGUAUUUUAUUCUGCCAAAGAUAUGGGUUGUGGAUACGGAUCAUAUGUAGUGGUUAUCAGUUAGAUGAGUCCUUUCCUAGACAAUGUUUGGUUUAAGGGUGGAGGUUCAGGUUAUGAGUGGUGGAUACCUAUUGUAUUGGGAGGGUAUGACUCGUGAGGGUCAAUCGUAUCCUUGUGACGAGAUUUUGGUGCAACUUAAGUGGGGGUAUUUUGGACAUAUCUUCACUUAUUCUAAUAGGGUCCCACACUUUAUAACCUACUUGGGAGGUUAUUUACCAUAUUAUUCUAUUCAUUAACACUUAGAAACUCUUCCUAAACAUUUCAUAAUUCUCUCAAGAGCUUUUGAGCAAGGGGAGCUAGGCUUUCAACUAAGGAAUCAAUUUGGGGCUUGUCUUGGUAAUUUAUUUUCGUCAUCAUCUUGAUUUAAGACAUAUUCUCUUCCCUCAUUGUUAAUUUUACUUAAAGUCAUGGUUUAUAUGAAUGUUUUCAUGAUUUUACUAUUACAUAAUUUUGGAUUUGAAAUAUGAUUUGGGGGUUUUGACGUUAAAUGUUUGGUGAUUGUUUCCCAUGGUCUUAAUUAUGCUUUUAAUGCAUUAAUGAUGGUUUUGGAUUAUAAUAUUGAAUGGAAAUGGUUUAUUGGUAAUUGAAAUUAGUUUUUAUCAUAUUAUGUCCCUAAUGUGUUUGACAAAAUGCUUAUAAAAAUAUGUUCAUUGCAUUGACUUCUUUUAAUGGGACUCUUGAAUGUUUCAAACUUGGUAAAGGAUUUAUGCAUGGUUUAAAUGGUUUGGAAAGGCUAAAGGCUAAUUGGUUUUGCUUGUGAGGAACAUGAAAGUCUCCUAAGUUGUUUAAUAUGGUAAAUAUAAGGGCACUUAAAAGUUCUCUUAAACCUAAAUAGUAGGCUAUGGAUGAUACUUGCAAGUAAGGGUUGGUAUGAUGAUACCAAUAUCAAUGGCCUUGGUUAAUAAAUGGAUAUGAUUUAGUUAUUUAGAAAUUGGUUUUAAUUUGGCAAUAUUGGCGGAAUGUGUUGUAAAUUUAUUGAAGGUGGAGGUCCCGGGGUGACUAAUACUGGAAACUCAUAUUUACCGAUAUGAUGUUGGUCUUGGUGAUCGUGUGCAUGAUGUCAUACUUUAUUUUGGGGAUGUACUAGUUAUCCCAUGGGAUACUUCCCUGGUUGUGCGGCUACACAGACUGGGCCCUUUCAGCAGGGGGAGCUGAACCUAUAUAGCCCAUGGUUGGUUUAGGACGACAAAGCUACACAACCCAGGUAAAGAUUUUAAAGGCAUGGUAAACCCGGUCCUUUUUUCGGGCAUGGUUAUAUAUAUAUAUGUAUGUAUGGUUGUAUGCAUAUGGAUAAUUUUACUUAAUUUUAUAAAUGACAUUAUUUUAUCCUUACCUUGAGAUCAUGCUAACGGUCACUCACUAACCCCGUUUACUAGUGGCUGCAUACCCAUGCUAUGUAGGAAUCGACCGUUCUACUUUUUCUACAUAGUGAUUGACUCGAGAUCAGUAUUUGGACUGAAGUGGUGAGCUUCUAUCCUUUCGAAAGGCAUCAUUUCAUGUUAUGGAUAUUCCUAGCCAUAUUGGUUUUAUUUUAGAUAUUGGUUUUUGCUAUGGUUGGCAGCAUGUCCCAACCAGAUUUUAUUACUCUUUUUGUUAUAGGCUUUAUGGUACUUCUAUGGGUUGGAAUAGACGGGAUCGGUAUGGGUGUCAGCCUUGGCUUUAGAAUAAGCUAGGAGGCUGGAAUCAUAGAACAUAAUUUCUUACUUUUUCGUCAUAAUUUAUUUUAGGAUUAAUUAUAUUAUAUUUUGGAAUGUCCUUGGUUAUGGCCUGGUUUAUAGCCCUAGUUUUGGUAUUGUUGGAUUGGUGGUAUGGAAUGGUUGGACUCGAUUGCUUCGAUCAUAGUUGUAAUCUAUUCUCAUAGUCUUUAUAUGUGUUGUUGCACUAUUUUGUUACAUACUCGAAAUUCAGCCUACUCAGGGAAGGUAGCUGGAGGUUAGGUUAGGUAACAGGGGUGGCAUCCCAUCUCGGUUAGACUUAGGACGCCCAUUACGACAAGGCCUCUGGGUGGGUCAUGUUAAGUUGGUUUCAGAUCCUAGGUUCAUUGUCAAUUGGGAGUCCACAAAGCAAUGUCGAGUAAAGUCUCUUUUAGGGAUGUAUAGCGCGCCCCUCUCAUAAGGGAAGGACUACAACGCAUUUAGGAAUGUUUCACUUUUGUGGUAUUCUAUUUUCAUGCUUGUACUCUCAUUCCUGGAAUCUUCUUUGAUCCUUGUUUGUUUGUUUUUCAGAUCAUUCCUCGUAGAUUUAGAAUACAAGAAAAUUCCUUUAUCCUAUCUGAGGGUAAUGCUUAAGGGGUGCAUCCUACUUCUAGGGUUUAUCUUCGAUCUUACUGUCUUAUCCUUGAUAGUUCUGGAGCUCAACCAGUUGCUAAUAUUCCUUCUCAAGGCGAGGUGACUAAUGCGGAAUCCCGUCAGUUUAUUCAUGUUAUUAGAAAACUAGUUGCUUCUCAGGCUGAGCGAGAUAUGCCUAGUGUUUUGUCUACUAAGGCCAUAAGGUUGGCCAAUUUAUGAAGAUGGGUCUGCCUACUUUUUUUGGAGUAAAGGUGUAGGAGGAUCUACAGGGCUCUUUAGAUGAUAUGGAGAAGAUAUUUUGGGUGAUGCAGGCUACCAAUGUAAAGGGGGUAAACUUGGCAGCUUAGCAGGUUUAAAAGGUUUCAUAUUAGUGGCAUAAAGAGUGGGAUGGGAUAGAGGAGACAUAGAGUAGUCAUCCUUGUAGGAUGCCUUCUUUGGUGCUUUUCUAGACCNNNNNNNNNNNNNNNNNNNNNNNNNNNNNNNNNCUCAAGCAAGGGAGAAUGUCUAUCUAGGAAAAUGCCAUAAAGUUUCACUAAUUGUGAUCUUGGGCAUAUUUAUAUAUUCAAUCGCCAAUAUUCACCCAUAUUUGGACUUGUUCUAAGAGCUAAAUUAUGUUAUUCUUAUUUUAUUUAAGCCUUAAUUAUGUUCCUUAUCUAACGAAUGCGAUUAUUGAUGCAGGGUGAAUUGCUAAUGGAAUUAGACAAAAUUGGUUGCUUGAUAUGAAGCAAGUGAUGAUUGAUGCUAUGGAAUUGAUUAUAUUGAUGUGGGAAUUCAAUGAGUUUGGAAAGCAUGCAUGAAAGGAUGAAGCGCAUGGAAAAGCAACUAUCUACAGAGGAAUUAUUGCCUUCGUCAAAUUUUUGGAGUGAAUUUCCUGUGAGAUGCCGUGAACUAUAUGCGACGCACUACUUUCUCAAUGCGUCGCACCACCUAAACGACAUGAUAUGCAAUGCGAUGCGGUGCUUCCUCAAUGUAAUAUCUGAUGUGGCGUGGUGGUUGUUCCAUCAUAGGUAAAGUCGCCCUAGUAUAAAAUCCAACACACAAUCAUACUUGAGAUACUUUGGAAAGCACAACAGCAGCGGAAAAACAAC
rnacentral:lncRNA from 1 species